CCCAAACGUGCCCGGGCUGUCCACUGCCUGAGCCCGAGAGUUCCGCGCGCACGGCUCCUGUCAUCAAAGCUACCCUCGCUGUAAAUGUCCUGAAAGAUCGGGUGGAUCCAGCCUUUGAGGAUCCAGUUCCAGGCAAGUAGUCUGUCACCAGGAAGUGGCCAAGAGCAUCCACAGCCAGCCCUCGGGGGGACAAGAACUUGCCUACAGUCACCCAGCGGCCCUGGGGUUCCCGGGAAGUGUACCGAAGAGCAUACACAGCCCUGUGGAUGAGGUCACUGACCACCACAAGCCCUGCAGCUGUCACAGCCACAUCCUCUGGAACAAAGGCUCCAGUUCUAGGAAUGCAGCAGGGUAGUUGACAAAUGGAGCGUCCCUCAAGAUCCAGCACAUGGACACAAGAUGCAGCACCAGCCGUCAAGAAGAGCAGGCCAUCUGGGGAACAGUGCAGGCCUCGGGGGCUCCCUGCAGCCCCUGCUGGCACCAGGAUUCGUCCCAGCAGCCGAGGCUGCCAAGAGCCACUGGCAUCUCUAAGUUGGUCCAGCCUGAGAUGAGGCCCUUGCGGGUAGGUGGCUGGGGAUAGGGGUGGCCCAGGAGGUCAAGGAGUCAGGACAGACGGGAGGCCAGGGCAGCAAGCAGUCACAGUCUCGGCUUCUCUGCAGCUGCAAAAGAGUUGGAACAUCCAUGUGUGCAGAUGGUGGCCCAUGGGUGCUGGCACCCUCCCAUUGUAGAUGAAGAGCUAAGGUGAGGUAGGAGGUGGAGGGGAAGGCUGAGCUGCAUGUGUGUUCAAUUCCUCCCGGUUCUGAGUGCUCACCUGGUCCCCAAGCACAGCAACCACACAGGUGUCUAGGUGUCUGCUGCAGUAGUCUGAGAGAUACUAUGCACCCAAAAGGGUCAAAGGUUUAGCUCUAAGGCUCAAAUCGCAUGCACGGCUGUGUCCUGGCUUGAGAAGGAGGAGGGGAGGAGGCAGAUAAGCAGCCCUGGGAUGACUCCUUCAUAGGAGUUGCCUAAGUUCGCAUUAGUCCCUCACCACUAUCACCUCCAUCUUCACCUCGACCAUCACCAUACACAGCCCCUCUGCUUUAGCCAGGGAGACAUUCAAACUCCAACCUCCCAGGGCUCCCCACUUGCCCCUCACCCCUUGCACAGAGAUUAUGAUACCUCUUACCUGGGGCUAACUGGCCUCGGGGCUUGAGGUCAGGCCUCUGUUGUUAGAGACAGCAUAGGUGUGUGUGUUGGGGGAGGGUGUAGCUAGGGGAGGAGUGACCAGGCAAGUUUCCUGCAGGGACAAGUUGAUUUGUUUGGACUGAGUCCCCAGCCUCCAGGCCUGCACCCUCUGGUUUGGGUCUUCACAUUGGCCUCACCCUAAUCCUGAACACUUUCUACUGCCCCUGCACAGCUCCACUGGGCAAGCCUGACUGUUCAAGAGGCACCCCCAGCCCUCUACAACUAUAGGUCACCCCUCCAGGCAGGACUUUUGUGUCAGGACCACACCUUGGUCACCCUCUUGGCAGCUCCACCAAGAAGUCAAGCUCUUCCUGUGAGGCUGGUGAUGCCGCUCCCUCCCAGGGUCAGACAGCAGAGUGGUAGGCACAUGGGGGUGCUGAGAGGAAGGUGCCCCAGAUUUAAGACCUGAGGUUCCUUGGACCCCUGGCUCUGACCUCGGCAGUCCCCCCCAGAAGCGUCCAGGUCAAUGGCGCCCAGCUAGCUUGUGUCACCCCUGGCCUGUAGCCCCACAGUUCCCUGGGCUGGCCAGCCAGAACUCUAGCCCCAACGCCACUUGUAAUGCCUCACAGUGGGGUGGCUUCCUGAUGCUAUCACCAGGUAGGUGGUUAAUGGGGCAGCUGAAGGUCCUGUUCGGACUGGCCCUGGCCUGGCCAAUCCAGCCCCAGUGAGAACAGUGCCUCCUCUGAGGGCAGCUUGUACUUCAGGGCAUUCCUGGGUGGGCUACAGCCCAGCUCCCCAGGGAGAAAAGCGAUUCGCUAUGGCUGGGGGGCCCCAGCAGCCCUCCCUAGCUAUCUCCCACCCUGGCCUGUGGAAGACCAAGCAGGGCUGUACUGGGAAGGAAGCAGUGAGCUGUGAAGGCCACCGAUGCCUAUCGUGGCUGCAGGGGCUGGCGGGGGGCCCAGGAAGGCCACACGGGGUAAGCAGCCUGGAGCCAUAGAAGGCAGGAGGCUUUGGCCACCACAGGCAAAGCUGGCAUUAGGCUGCUUGGAUGGAUUCAGGCCCAAGGACGUGCAGGGUCCUUGCCCAUCCCCAGUGAGCUGAAACAGGCCAGGUCAUCCUGCCAUGUCUGCCUCUCUGCCACUCUUCCCUGAGUUCCCUAAUUAAAUGAACCCGGGUCACCCCUUGGUGGACCUUAUAUUUGGGCCAAAAAAUAAGGAUUUUUUUGUGGCCAAAGGUGAGCCCCAGUAUGGUGUCCAGGACUCUUGCUCACUGGAUACUGAGGCCAGGGGACAUUUCCUUUAGGGUGCUCGAUGCUUAUAUGAGGACAGAAAAGAAAAGAGACCCAAGUAAGGGGUGUUUGAAGGCGUUUUCUAUUUUAAUGUCCACAACUUCAAUAAAUAAAUCAUGACCUUUCUAGUCCA